CAGCCGCCGCGGUAAUACGUAGGUGGCAAGCGUUGUCCGGAAUGAUUGGGCGUAAAGGGCUCGCAGGCGGUUUCUUAAGUCUGAUGUGAAAGCCCCCGGCUCAACCGGGGAGGGUCAUUGGAAACUGGGAAACUUGAGUGCAGAAGAGGAGAGUGGAAUUCCACGUGUAGCGGUGAAAUGCGUAGAGAUGUGGAGGAACACCAGUGGCGAAGGCGACUCUCUGGUCUGUAACUGACGCUGAGGAGCGAAAGCGUGGGGAGCGAACAGGAUUAGAUACCCCAGUAGUCCCUGUCUCUUAUAC
rnacentral:rRNA from 1 species